rnacentral:pre_miRNA from 8 species
CCGGCCCUCACCCAGUGGUGGAUCUCGCUGGUGACUCCAAAUGUUGUAACCGAGCGAGUUAUAGAGAGAACACCACACUCUGAGUCUAAUUCAGUAGUCCUUUAUUGC